UAAUACGAAGGGUGCAAGCGUUAAUCGGAAUUACUGGGCGUAAAGCGCGCGUAGGUGGUUCAGCAAGUUGGAUGUGAAAUCCCCGGGCUCAACCUGGGAACUGCAUCCAAAACUACUGAGCUAGAGUACGGUAGAGGGUGGUGGAAUUUCCUGUGUAGCGGUGAAAUGCGUAGAUAUGCGGAGGAACACCGAUGGCGAAGGCAAUCCCCUGGGCCUGCACUGACGCUCAUGCACGAAAGCGUGGGGAGCAAACAGGAUUAGAUACCCUGGUAGUCCACGCCGUAAACGAUGUCGACUAGCCGUUGGGAUCCUUGAGAUCUUAGUGGCGCAGCUAACGCGAUAAGUCGACCGCCUGGGGAGUACGGCCGCAAGGUUAAAACUCAAAUGAAUUGACGG
rnacentral:rRNA from 1 species